rnacentral:rRNA from 1 species
CCUCUGCUCUAUGUUUUUAUAAAUGGCAGUCUUAGCGUGAGGACAUUAAGGUAGCAAAAUAAUUUGUGCUUUUAAUGGGUUCUAGUAUGAAUGGGGUUAGUGGCUAAUUUUUUACUUUUAUUUUUAUGAAUUAGUUUUGUGUUUAAGAAAUAAUGGUYGAUAUUACACAAAGAUAAGUCUUCGGAAAUUUUUUUGUUAAAUAUUUUUUUAUUUUUUUAAUAUGUUUUCUAGGGUAGAAUGUUUUGUAACUUUUUUURCUAAUUUUAAUUUAAAAAAUUACUUCGGAGUUAACAGAAAAUCAUAUCUGAUUUAGUUCUUAUAAUAAUGAUAAGUUUUACAUCGAUGUUGUAUUUUAGUUCUUAAAGGGAGGAGAGGAUUUUAGGUUUUAGACUGUUCUUCUAUUAUUAAACUAAACGUGAUAUUAGUUUAAUUCAUCGUGAGAUAGAAU